UCGAGAAUUUUUCACAAUGGGGGCAACCCUGAUGGAGCGACGCCGCGUGGAGGAUGAAGGUUUUCGGAUUGUAAACUCCUGUCACUACAGAACAAGAGUACAUUUUCCAAUAAAGAGUGUAUUUGAUGGUAUGUGGAGAGGAAGGGACGGCUAACUCUGUGCCAGCAGCCGCGGUAAUACAGAGGUCCCGAGCGUUGUUCGGAUUCAUUGGGCGUAAAGGGUGUGUAGGAGGCUGGGUAAGUCGGGUGUGAAAUCUCACUGCUUAACAGUGAAAUGGCGCUCGAUACUGCUCGGCUAGAGGAUUGGAGGGGGAAGCGGAAUUCAUGGUGUAGCAGUGAAAUGCGUAGAUAUCAUGAGGAACACCGGUGGCGUAGGCGGCUUCCUGGAAAAUUCCUGACUCUGAAACACGAAAGCCAGGGGAGCAAACGGGAUUAGAUACCCCCGUAGUCC
rnacentral:rRNA from 1 species